rnacentral:rRNA from 1 species
UACGUAGGUGGCAAGCGUUGUCCGGAUUUAUUGGGUUUAAAGGGUGCGUAGGCGGCCUUGUAAGUCAGUGCUGAAAUAUCCCGGCUUAACCGGGAGGGUGGCAUUGAUACUGCAGGGCUUGAGUAAAGUUGAGGUUGGCGGAAUUGACGGUGUAGCGGUGAAAUGCUUAGAUAUCGUCAAGAACACCGAUAGUGAAAGACAGCUAAC